GUGAAUCAUCAAAUUUUUGAACGCAAAUUGCACUCUCCGGUUUUCCGGGAGAUUAUGGCUGGUUGAGGGUCAGCCUAAAUAAAAUCGGCUUAGUUGGUUGCUGUGUUUUUCACGGUAACGUUGGUCUUAAUUUGUGUCAUCUUAAACGGAAAGUAUUUUAAUCUACUUAAAAUUUUCUUACGAUCUCGCGAACGUUUCUAAGAUUUU
rnacentral:misc_RNA from 1 species